UUCCUAGUGGUCUAGUGGCUAAGACUCCACACUCCCAAUGCAGGGGGCCCCAGGUUCGAUCCCUGGUCAGGGAA
rnacentral:tRNA from 1 species